AUCAGUCUCAUUUGAAGUUUCUGCCUCUGUGAAUCCAAGCAUUCGUCACAAGAUUCAAACUGCUUUUACAGCACAAGAGCUGAACAUUGCCAAGCAAUCCUGCCCUGUGGACAUUUUAAAGCAGAAGUUUGUACAUCUGAGAGACGUUCCCAUUAUUCCUUUUAAAGAGGUACAGCCCAUGCUCCUUAUCGGUUCUGAUUACCCACAUCUCGUCACACCGAUAGCUCCAGUACUUAUGGGCCCAUUGGGUAGUCCUGUGGCAGUUAGUACAAGUUUGGGCUGGGCUAUCCAGGGUCCAACUACAUUCCUUGACCAGCCAUUGGAGACUACUUGUCUGAACAUCUCACUGAUCCGCUCUCCCACACAAGAUCUGUCUCAUCAUGUUGAAAAGUUAUGGCAAGUAGACAUACUUCCCUUCCAGCCUGUGAAAGACAUGACGCAUUCCAAGCAGGACAGAGAUGCUCUUCAAAUGCUGGAAACAAAGACAAAGAGAGUAGAAGUUGAUGGAGUCUCUCGCUACGCAACUCCUCUUCUUCGCAAAGGGAAUGCAAAGGUAUUGCAUGCAGGUCCUGAAUCAGUCAUGGUUCUUCUAAGAGCCACUGAUUGCCGUUUGAAUCAACAUGUAGAGCUUGCUGAAGUCUACAAGAAAGAAAUACACAAACUGGAGCAGGCAGGGUAUGCAACGAAACUCACACCUGAAGAGGCUAAAGCAACAAAUGAGUCAUGGUUCAUUCCCCACCACCUUGUGCAUCACAACAAUAAAGCCAGGGUUGUGUUCAACUGUUCGUAUCAGUUCCUUCAAGCUUCACUGAAUGAUCAGUUACUCCCAGGACCUACAUUGGGUCCCUCAUUACUGGGAGUUCUUCUCAGAUUCAGACAAUAUCCUGUGGCCAUCAGUGGGGACAUUCGCUCAAUGUUUCACCAAGUACGCCUCCUUCCAGAAGAUCAGCCUUUACUUCGCUUCUUGUGGAGAGAUCUGGAAAAGGAUAGACAACCUGACAUCUAUGAGUGGCGUGUUCUUCCAUUUGGGACCACAUGCAGUCCAUGCUGUGCCAUUUACACACUCCAGUGUCAUGUCACGGACCAUCGUGAAGGCAAUGAAGAGGUGGUAGACUCAGUAUUGAAAUCCUUUUAUGUGGAUAACUGUUUGCAGUCCCUUCCCACAACUGAUGAGGCCAAACAGCUCAUAAACAAGAUGAGAGCUUUGCUAUCUGCUGGAGGAUUUGAAAUUAGACAAUGGGCCAGUAACUACCCAGAGGUAAUUGCUCAUCUACCAACUGAGGCAAGGUCCGAAAGCUGUGAGCUAUGGCUGACUGUAAACAAGACAGACCCACAAGAGUCUACACUUGGGCUCUCUUGGCACUGCCCAUCCGACAAGCUUAGCUAUCGAAACCGCCCACUAUCCACAGAUGAGCCCACUAUGCGCAAUAUUUAUAGAGUGCUAGCGUCUCAAUUUGACCCUCUUGGUUAUAUUUUGCCUUAUACCACCCGGGCUAAAAUCCUUGUUCAAGCUCUGUGGAUAAACGAAAGGGGCUGGGAUGACUGCAUUGAAAAAAGGAUGCUUGACAAAUGGCAAGAGUGGACCAAUGAACUGCAGUAUCUUCCCAUGAUAGGGAUGCCAAGGUGCUAUUUCCCAGUCUGUCCAGAAUCUGACAAUGACAAGAUUGAAUUGCAUGUAUUUUGCGAUGCCUCUGAGAGGGCUUAUGGUUCAGUGGCAUAUCUGCGCCUACAAGACAAAGAGGGAAAUAUUCAUACCUCAUUUGUUAUGGCUAGAUCCCGUGUUGCACCCAAAAAGCAACUAUCAAUGCCCCGACUGGAACUGUGUGGUGCCCUUACCGGUGCACAAUUGGCUAAACUCCUCUUAACUGAAAUUAGCCUACCUAUCCAUAACAUUGUUCUCUGGACAGACUCCACUACAGUUCUCACUUGGAUCAAAUCUGAAUCCUGUCAUUACAAGGUGUUUGUUGGCACACGGAUUGCCGAAAUACAGGAGUUGACCAGUUCAGAGAACUGGAGAUAUGUGGAGUCAGAGCUAAACCCUGCUGAUGAUAUUACAAGAGGGGAAUCUCUCUAUGAACUCUCUCAUGAAUGUCAAUGGAAUCAGGGCCCUUACUUCCUCCAACAGUCACCAGAAAACUGGCCCAAGCCGCCUACCUUAUCCUCAACUGAUGAGAACGAGCUAAGAAACUCAUUCUUCUGUGCUCAUGUUGCUGUUCUGCACCCUUCCCUACCAGAUCAAAAGCAGUACCCAACAUGGUCAGACUUGGUUCAAGCUACCUACCAGUCUGUACAUGGAGCUUUAGCACCCUCAAUGUCAGCUUCACAACGCAUUGAUACUGAACUGCUUCUUCUCAGACAAGCUCAGCAGGAUAGUUUCCCUGAUGAAGUCUGUGCACUUCAAGAUGGCAAGGUCAUACGUGCUAGCAGUAGGUUAUGUACUUUGUCACCUGAAUAUGAUCAAACCUUGGGAGUAAUUCGGGUAGGAGGUCGCCUUCGCAAAGCUGAGAAACUUGAAGUUGAUACUUUGCAUCCUAUUGUAUUGGCACCUGAUUAUCCCAUCACUAAACUCAUAAUACAAGACUAUGACAACAGACUUCUUCAUCCCGGUCCUGAGCGUGUCUUCGCAGAGUUGCGAAGAACUUACUGGAUUAUCCAAGGUAGACAAGCCGUAAAGAAACAUCAACACAAGUGCAUAGAAUGCACAAAAUGGCGCCGUAGUCCAGUCAACCCUAAAAUGGCUGAUCUUCCCGCUGCUCGUCUUCGCUUAUACCAGCCUCCUUUCUGGUCAGCUGGUGUCGAUUGCUUCGGACCAUUUACUGUAAAGAUGGGCAGAAGACAUGAAAAACGAUGGGGAAUCAUUUUCAAGUGCCUCACCACAAGGUGUAUCCACUUAGAUCUCCUUCAUAAUAUGGAUACUGACUCCUUUCUUAUGGCCUUACGACGCUUUGUUGCACGACGAGGCAAACCCUUUGAGUUACUAUCUGACCAGGGUACAAAUUUCAGAGGUGGGAAUCGAGAACUCCAAGAAACCUUCUCUGCACUUGAGCCAGAAAUCAAAGAAAAACUGAGUGAACAGAGUAUUUCUUUUCAGUUUAAUCCUCCACAUGCACCUCAUUUCGGUGGAGCCUGGGAGCGUGAAAUACGCUCCAUUAAAUCCUGUCUUCGAGUAGUACUUAAGGAUCAAGUUGUUUCUGAGGAAGUAUUGUCUACUGUCCUGGUUGAAGUGGAGGGAAUACUCAAUUCUAAACCACUUGGGUAUGUAUCAUCAGAAAUAUCUGACAUAGACCCAAUUACUCCAAAUCUGUUGCUGAUGGGGCGGCGGGAUGCCUCUCUUCCUCAAGUGGUUUAUGGCGCAAGAGAAUUGCUUGGAAAGAGAAAAUGGAGACAUAGCCAAGUCAUAGCUGACCAGUUCUGGAAACAAUUCAUUCAUAACUACUUGCAGAGUCUUCAAACCCGUGUGAAAUGGCAAAAAUCUACACCAAAUCUAUCAGUGGGACAAAUAGUUAUGGUUAUGGACUCUCAACUGCCACGAGCCCUCUGGCCAGUAGGCAAAGUAAACCAAGUUGUUCCCAGCAGCGACGGAACCGUUAGAAUGGUGAAUGUAACUAUUGGAAACCGUGUCUACUGUCGCCCUGUUUCUAAACUGAUUGUUCUACCAGAGAUGCCCACUGAUAUCAAUGGUUUCUAAUUUCAGAGAACAGGGAUCUUUAUCUUAUUUCUAAUUUGCUGUACAAAUUAGGGGGCGGCUGUAUAAAAUCCCUGUUGAACUCUUAUUUUGAAUUAGUUGGUGACAUCACAUGUGGGCGGAGUCAGGAACAUGCACAGACAAGUUCAGUAAAAAGACCGUUCUGCCGCUGCAACGAGACAGAUUAUAGUUUGUUUUGAUAUGUGUGCGUUCAUGACAACGUAAAGACCACACACAAACACUCAGUUAUGCAAACUGUAUCUAACCCAAACUGCUGGAUUAUUGGAAUAAAUCAAUGCUUGAGAACGGAAGCUGUCUCGAAUUUUUGCCUAUAAACCUUCUGAUCGAGGUUGAGGAUUAGAUGUCGGCCAACCAGUGCAUCCAAGCACAUAUAUCUUUA
ensembl:lncRNA